CCGUCUGUAGCUCAGUUGGUUAGAGCACAGAGCUUAUACCUCUGGGGUCCUUGGUUCAAAUCCAAGCAGACGGA
rnacentral:tRNA from 1 species